GGUUGGCCUUUAGAUGGCUGCAGCGGCCGGAAGAGAUUCACAGAGCUGGGUAGCAAUCAGGAGGGACUGAUUGAUGGCAGUGCUGCGGCUGGAGCGUCCUUCUCUCACUGGUGUCGUCUGGGACUGGGAGUUCACUUAGACGGUGAUUUGGUUUGUGGUGCACGCAGUUUAUAGCAUGGUGUUUUUGUUUGGAAGUAAUUGGAUUUAUGUUUUGUUU